GAUUUAUUAGUUGUAACUAUAGUACUAAGUGAUGAAUUGUUUAUUAUUAAACAUAUUGUUUAAAAUUUAAAGUUUUAAAACCCAGAAUUACACAUUUUAUCAAAAUUUAAAAAAAUAACCAAACAGUUUUUCAGAAAUCAAGUGUUGGCCACUCGACUCACUUUGCGGUUCAUGUCAAAAACAGGAUAUUUCUGUAUUUUUGAUAUGAAUUGGAAAUCAAUAAUUAAUCAUAGCAUCAGAAGGACAAUUAUUUUGAACACAAUCCUGCCAGGUAAAAUGGUGCCAUAAACAAUGUAUGAACAGCACGAUACAGUUGGCUCAUGUACCUUAAUCUACUGGAUCGACAUGAAGACGAUACAAGAUAGCCGAAUUUGUCACUCAAACGAACACAGAGCAUAAACA